CCUACGGGAGGCAGCAGUGAGGAAUAUUGGUCAAUGGACGGAAGUCUGAACCAGCCAUGCCGCGUGCAGGAAGACGGCUCUAUGAGUUGUAAACUGCUUUUGUACAAGGGUAAACCUGAAUACGUGUAUUCAGCUGAAAGUACUGUACGAAUAAGGAUCGGCUAACUCCGUGCCAGCAGCCGCGGUAAUACGGAGGAUCCAAGCGUUAUCCGGAUUUAUUGGGUUUAAAGGGUGCGUAGGCGGAUUGAUAAGUUAGAGGUGAAAUGUCCGGGCUUAACUCUGGAACUGCCUCUGAUACUGUUGUUCUAGAGAGUAGAUGCGGUAGGCGGAAUGUAUGGUGUAGCGGUGAAAUGCUUAGAGAUCAUACAGAACACCGAUUGCGAAGGCAGCUUACCAAUCUAUAUCUGACGUUGAGGCGCGAAAGCGUGGGGAGCAAACAGGAUUAGAUACCCUUGUAGUC
rnacentral:rRNA from 1 species